AUUGAACGCUGGCGGCAGGCUUAACACAUGCAAGUCGAGCGGAGAGAGGUAGCUUGCUACUGAUCUUAGCGGCGGACGGGUGAGUAAUGCUUAGGAAUCUGCCUAUUAGUGGGGGACAACAUUUCGAAAGGAAUGCUAAUACCGCAUACGUCCUACGGGAGAAAGCAGGGGAUCUUCGGACCUUGCGCUAAUAGAUGAGCCUAAGUCGGAUUAGCUAGUUGGUGGGGUAAAGGCCUACCAAGGCGACGAUCUGUAGCGGGUCUGAGAGGGUGAUCCGCCACACUGGGACUGAGAAACGGCCCAGACUCCUACGGGAGGCAGCAGUGGGGAAUAUUGGACAAUGGGCGCAAGCCUGAUCCAGCCAUGCCGCGUGUGUGAAGAAGGCCUUAUGGUUGUAAAGCACUUUAAGCGAGGAGGAGGCUACUUUGGUUAAUACCUAGAGAUAGUGGACGUUACUCGCAGAAUAAGCACCGGCUAACUCUGUGCCAGCAGCCGCCGUAACAC
rnacentral:rRNA from 1 species